GUGGGGAAUCUUAGACAAUGGGCGCAAGCCUGAUCUAGCCAUGCCGCGUGAGCGAUGAAGGCCUUAGGGUUGUAAAGCUCUUUCGCUGGGGAAGAUAAUGACUGUACCCAGUAAAGAAGCCCCGGCUAACUCCGUGCCAGCAGCCGCGGUAAUACGGAGGGGGCUAGCGUUGUUCGGAAUUACUGGGCGUAAAGCGCGCGUAGGCGGAUUGGAAAGUUGGGGGUGACAUCCCGGGGCUCAACCUCGGAACUGCCUUCAAAACUCCCAGUCUUGAGUUCGAGAGAGGUGAGUGGAAUUCCGAGUGUAGAGGUGAAAUUCGUAGAUAUUCGGAGGAACACCAGUGGCGAAGGCGGCUCACUGGCUCGAUACUGACGCUGAGGUGCGAAAGCGUGGGGAGCAAACAGGAUUAGAAACCCCGGUAGUCC
rnacentral:rRNA from 1 species